rnacentral:rRNA from 1 species
UGGGGAAUCUUGCACAAUGGGGGAAACCCUGAUGCAGCGACGCCGCGUGAGCGAUGAAGGUUUUCGAAUCGUAAAGCUCUGUCCUAUGGGAAGAUAAUGACGGUACCAUGGGAGGAAGCCCCGGCUAACUACGUGCCAGCAGCCGCGGUAAUACGUAGGGGGCGAGCGUUGUCCGGAAUUACUGGGCGUAAAGGGUUCGCAGGCGGCAUGGCAAGUCCGAUGUAAAAGGCGAAGGCUCAACCUUCGUAAGCAUCGGAAACUGUCAAGCUUGAGUGAAGGAGAGGCAAGUGGUAUUCCUAGUGUAGCGGUGGAAUGCGUAGAUAUUAGGAGGAAUACCGGUGGCGAAGGCGACUUGCUGGACUUCAACUGACGCUGAGGAACGAAAGCGUGGGUAGCAAACAGG